rnacentral:rRNA from 1 species
UACGUAGGGGGCGAGCGUUGUCCGGAUUUACUGGGCGUAAAGCGCGUGUAGGCGGCCCGUUAAGUGGGGUGUGAAAGCCCGGGGCUCAACCCCGGGACGCCGCUUCAAACUGGCGGGCUUGAGGACGGAAGAGGGGAGUGGAAUUGCCUGGUGUAGCGGUGAAAUGCGUAGAGAUCAGGAGGAACACCCGUGGCGAAGGCGGCUCCCUGGUCCGGUCCCUGACGCUGAGACGCGAAAGCGCGGGGAGCGAACGGG